GAAAAACGAAAAAUUUGUGAUGGAGUAUUUCAAGGUACAAUAUAACCCCAUUAUGAUACAAGAAUGGAGUAAAGUUGUAAUUUAACCACUGAAUUUUGCACCUUCACCAUUUCUGAAACCUUGUUAAAUGUUGUAGAGAGAACUCCUACCAGAAGUACAAAACCCUUAACAAAAUGAUCCUAAUGAUUCUGAGAAUUUUUCAGGCCUCUCUCUAAUCUGUCAUUAAUAUAUUUUAAAGAUGUGCUUAAAAGUUAAUAAAACUAGCAGCAAAUAAAAAUUCAUACAUAUAUUAACUUUAAAACAAUCUAAAAUUAAUCUCUAUCAAUUGUGCGAUAUUUAAUUUUUCAAGAGCCCAAAUAUUCUGGAAAUAUGAUUCUACUGGAUUAUCCCUAGGAAAUAUUGUUAUGCAGACAAGUUCUGCACAAUAGGAUUAUGUUAUGCAGCAUCCUGUUAAAUGGCAACAAAAUAUAAAAGUCAUAAACUCAUUUGCCAGGAUUCUAAAUGAAUUCUCUUUGAAUCAU
rnacentral:lncRNA from 1 species